rnacentral:lncRNA from 13 species
GUCCAUUAGUACAUGCAUAAGAACCAAUCGAGAGCGUUCCACUUGGACACUGUCUGAUAGGACACAGCCAUUCAUAUCGGCGUUUAUGGGUUGCAGGUUCCAUCUGUAAGCGAAUGUACAUUUCUAUGUCCAUUAACUGCGAAAGACUAUACAACGCGUCGAGUAAAACGUCUUCAUUCAGAGAUGGAUAAGGAUCAUAUUGAAUCUAAAUUAGUUGCAAUACCUCCCUUCAGUGAGUAGAAGAAUGAUGUGAUGUAAUUCACCAUUGCGAUAUGCAAUAAAAUGUUAUUUAAUACAAAUACAAAUAAUCAAUUAUCUUUUUGUCAAGUAAAAUGCAUUUAAAAUAUAUCUAGAUUAAGAUUUUACAAAGGAACUUUUAAGAUUAAGAUAUUAAACUUUUGUGUGUAUUAAAUAAUCAGACACAUGAACACAUAGUUAAUUUAUUCAAAUAGCUACCUAUAUAUUUUUUAUAAUUUUUGUAAUGCGUUGCAAUAAUAUUUUAUCGCUCGCGAUACAAUCAAUUUAUAACCAUAACAUGAUAGUGUUACACUGUUGCAUUUUGGUAUAAAUACGAUUUGUUCAGGAAACAAUUGUGAUACUAUUACUCAACAUAUUGUAAAAAAUGUAAAGUAAAUGUAUUGAAAUGUAUUUUAAGAAAUGUAAA